GGGACUGUUAGGUUUCGACAUGUUAAUUUUGCUUUUUAGAGUUAGAGAAGAUGCUAUAUAUUUAUGAUGAUUUUAUCAUAACUAAAAUAAACAAGCGCAAAAAAUAAUAUAAUACCUUUUUCUCGAAAACUAGUUGUAGUUUAAUUUAUAACAGUACAAUAAUAUUGAUGUUUUGAGCGUCAGAUGCUUAAUCUGUGUGAACAUCUGGUGAUUAUUAAUAACAGUGCUCCUAAUUUAUAUGUUUUUCAUAUUUGGGUAAACUUAGGUCAAGUAAAAAAAUAUAAAUAUUUUUUCUGGCUAUUCUUUAUCUACUUUGUUACAAGUCUCUAGUAAUGUAAUUAACAUGGACGUGGGUUCGAAUCCCACCAGUUCCA
rnacentral:tmRNA from 1 species